rnacentral:lncRNA from 1 species
CGAUGCUCGUUGCGAGGCUGCUCAGCUAGAGGCUAUGCUCGUUGCAAGGUGGCUCGGUUUAUGGUAUUCCUCAUUGCAAGUAUCUACUUUAUGUCGACAUGCACUUUGUUUAUACCAUAUUUAGGGCCUCGUAUAAAUACUCGGGGGACUUAAAUGUAAUUAUGUAAUAAAGGAAUUGGCAAAUAUGUAAUUAGGGAAUGAGCCCUUAUUCUAUAAAAAGACCUUCUCACCUUUACAAACCCUAAGUCUCUCCCAUCUAGAGCAAAGCUCUCACUCUCUCUCCCUCACAAAUACUCUUAGAUAAAUAUAAUCAGUGUGGACGUAGCCCAAACCUUGGGGUAAACCACGAUACAUCUUGUGUUAUUUACAUUACUUGCAGAUUCACGGUCGGAUUUACGUUGUUCCAAGACCUUCGGUUUUGUGCAUCAACAUUUGGCACCGUCUGUGGGAAACGACACGAAAAGUUAUGUCGGUUCUCUCUCAAUUUUUCACCUCUGUCAUGAAUCUGCAAAAACCCACACAAAGACAUAGACACAGAGCUCUAUCUCUCUCUCAAACUUUGAAUUUACAAAGCUGUUGCCAUCUUUUCAGUUUGUGAUCUGAACCACUGCUAUGCCCAUAACAGAGGAUACUACCAUGACAGCCCACGAAGUUGAGGCCCAUAUCUGUGGAUG